rnacentral:lncRNA from 1 species
GUAUGUGAAGGUUUAGAGAGAGAAAUAGUGGUGAUGGGUAUGUGGAUAUUUAAAGGGACCAUAUGCAUGGAUGGUUAGGAUGGGUAGGGUGAUGAGAAAACGGGUAUGGAGGGUGGAGGGUUGGAGAUGGAUGUGGUGUGGUGAACAUUUGCAUGGGAAUGAAGAUGAGGGUUAUGGGUAGUGGGAUGAGUGGUAGGAGGUAGAGAGAGAAAA